ensembl:snoRNA
GAGGAACCAACAGUUUGCUGAAGCUCUUGGUUUCAAGCAGGAGCCUAAAGAAUUAUCUUUCUAUGGUCUGUUGACCAUUUCAGAACUUUGGAAAUGAAGUGGUCAAUUCAUUGGAAAGAAACAGUA